GUGGGGAAUAUUGGGCAAUGGGCGAAAGCCUGACCCAGCAACGCCGCGUGAGGGAAGAAGGUUUUCGGAUUGUAAACCUCUGUCCUAAGUGACGAAGGAAGUGACGGUAGCUUAGGAGGAAGCCCCGGCUAACUACGUGCCAGCAGCCGCGGUAAUACGUAGGGGGCGAGCGUUGUCCGGAAUGACUGGGCGUAAAGGGCGUGUAGGCGGCCGAUUAAGUAUGGAGUGAAAUUCCAGCUUUCAAGGUUGGAAUUGCUUUGUAGACUGGUUGGCUUGAGUGCGGAAGAGGUAAGUGGAAUUCCCAGUGUAGCGGUGAAAUGCGUAGAGAUUGGGAGGAACACCAGUGGCGAAGGCGACUUACUGGGCCGUAACUGACGCUGAGGCGCGAAAGCGUGGGGAGCGAACAGGAUUAGAUACCCUAGUAGUCC
rnacentral:rRNA from 1 species